rnacentral:rRNA from 1 species
CAUGAAGCUGGAAUCGCUAGUAAUCGCAGAUCAGAAUGCUGCGGUGAAUACGUUCCCGGGUCUUGUACACACCGCCCGUCACACCAUGGGAGCCGGGAAUGCCCGAAGUCGGUGACCCAACCGUAAGGAGGGAGCCGCCGAAGGCAGGGCCUGGUAACUGGGGUGAAGUCGUAACAAGGUACC